UUUUUUUUUAAAUUUGUUUUCUUCAGUACUAUUUUUUUCUUUUUAUUGUGUUACAUGCAGUUAAAUUAUAUUUUUUACAUGUGCUCUUCUUUUUUUCCUGUUUGGGUCUUUUAUAUAUAGAAUCUUUUUUUGCAGGCACUGCAGAACUUGGAAUAAUGAUGAUGACAACAAUUCUAGUAACCAUCAUUAUGCUUCUAAUAUGGCAGAUUAACAUCUUCA
rnacentral:lncRNA from 1 species